UCUUUGUUAGUAUAUCGGUUAGUACACGCGCUUGUCAUAUUCAAUGUCCGCGCGAAAGCUGGGUUCGAUUCCCAGACAGAGAG